rnacentral:rRNA from 1 species
UACGUAGGUGGCAAGCGUUGUCCGGAUUUAUUGGGUUUAAAGGGUGCGUAGGCGGUUUAUUAAGUCAGUGGUGAAAGACGGCAGCUCAACUGUCGAGGUGCCAUUGAUACUGAUGAACUUGAGUACAGUCGAAGUAGGCGGAAUGGACGGUGUAGCGGUGAAAUGCAUAGAUAUCGUCCAGAACACCGAUAGUGAAGACAGCUUACUAGGCUGUAACUGACGCUGAGGCACGAAAGCGUGGGGAGCAAACGGG